UCCGUAAGAUCCGCAUAAAUGUCCAACAAUUACAACCUCUCGCACUCCAAAUACGGACUUCAUACCCGAUAAUGUAAGAUGAACUUCUCCAAGCCGAGUUAAAAUCUUUUCACAAUCUUGUAUAUGAUCAACAACAUAUCUGCGACACCCCCUCGUAUCUAAAGUAUCAUCCUUGUCUCCUUCUCUGCACCCCUUUAUAGGAACAUCAU
rnacentral:lncRNA from 1 species